CCCUGAGGCCCUAGGAAAGCGGAAGUCGCGGCAUGAAGCUGAAUUCCACGGAUGUCAAGGGCAUGUUUCCUGCGGGACGACCUGGGGAAACCAGGUGACCAUGCGGCCGUGCUAGCUGUCUAGCUGGGUCUCCAGCCGUGAGCGUACGUGUCCAAGGGCAAGCCGGCAGCCCUGUGAUUACCCUUGAGAAGCCGCGGGGAUCCGCCUGUCAUUUGAAAUGAAGACAGGUACCACUGUGAGCCAGGUGGAGCGAGCCUUCAGCCAGCAGCUGGGAUAAUGCUUCUUGGGAAAGAAGCCUCGUGUGAAGCGGCUUGCAGGCCCCUGGACGCAGGGGACUGGACAGGACGGAGCAAGUCUGCAAAGCCACGUACUGAUUUGUUGGACACAACGGCAGCCACGGAUUUUGGAAAUCUGAUACAGGAAAAACAGGAUAUGAAUACUGAUUUAGUAGUUUUCAUCUUCUAAAUUUAUUGAAUUUCCAUACAGUAAGCCCCUAACAUGUACCAGGAACUGGGUCUGAGGUGGAGAAGCUAUGCGAGUCCCCAAGGGGCGCAGACUACACAAGACACCAUCCAAAGUCACCGCCAUGUUAAUGACACAUGUUCCGAUGGCCAUGCCAGAGCACUGCCCAGACAGGCAAGGUGGGCAGAGAAGUCUUCCUGGAGGAGGCGCGGUGGCUGGGACUUGAAGGAAGAACAGCCUUCUCUGUGAGGUGCACGCAGUGCUCAGAACCGAGGAGAACGCGUCUGUAACCAGGCUGGAGGGGCCGGCGGGGACGAGGGCCCGUCCAGCCCAGGCGGGGUGGCAGCGGCCUGCCCUGCAGCCCAGGGGCUGGAGCCCCGCGAGCCGGGUUCACCGCUCUUGCACAUCUCCCGGCAAGGCUGGCCUCGCAGUCCCAAGGGGCGGCCAGACCCCGCGGCGCAGACGGUGUUGGCUAAAGUGCACACUCCCAGGACCACAUCGGUGUUCUUACAGUUUUCUCCAACUUGGUUCUUCUAUUCUUAAAAUAGUAAAAUGCAUUUCUUUGAAAA